rnacentral:rRNA from 1 species
AGAGUUUGAUCCUGGCUCAGGAUGAACGCUGGCGGCGUGCCUAACACAUGCAAGUCAAGGAGAAACGGGUAGCAAUAUCCGGAGUAAACUGGCGAACGGGUGAGUAACACGUAGACAACUUACCUCGAAAACGGGAAUAACCCCGCGAAAGCGGGACUAAUACCCGAUAUUGCUCAGAUGCGGCAUCGUAUUUGAGUGAAAGGUCGUGAGACGUUUCGAGAUGGGUCUGCGUCCCAUUAGAUAGUUGGCAGGGUAAUGGCCCACCAAGUCGACGAUGGGUAGCUGGUCUGAGAGGACGACCAGCCACACUGGAACUGAGACACGGUCCAGACUUCUACGGAAGGCAGCAGUGAGGAAUAUUGCUCAAUGGGCGAAAGCCUGAAGCAGCGACGCCGCGUGAGGGAUGAAAUCCGUUAGGAUGUAAACCUCUUUUAUGAGAGACGAAAAGGAUGCCUUGAGCAUCCGAUGACGGUAUCUCAAGAAUAAGGAUCGGCCAACUACGUGCCAGCAGCCGCGGUAAUACGUAGGAUCCGAGCGUUGUCCGGAAUUACUGGGUGUAAAGGGUCUGCAGGCGGGCAAACAAGUCGGUGGUGAAAUCCUAUAGCUCAACUAUAGAACUGCCUCCGAUACUGUUUGUCUUGAGUUCGAGAGAGGGUAAUGGAAUUCAUGGUGUAGCGGUGAAAUGCGUAGAUAUCAUGAAGAACACCAGUUGCGAAGGCGAUUACCUGGCUCGACACUGACGCUCAGGGACGAAAGCGUGGGGAUCAAACAGGAUUAGAUACCCUGGUAGUCC